UCUAAUUAAUUUCGAAAUUGCAAUUAGAUAAAUUAAAAACGCGUUUAGAAAACAGCGAUUGCCCAAUUAAAAAAAAACCAGACCCGACCCGACAAUUAAAAAACUUGACCCGACUUUAAAAAAAAAAAACAGAUUGGCUAUCUAAUUGAAAUUAGGGCUCGUGUCUCUGCUUCACGACACUUAUUACGAAGAAGAUGACAGAAAAAGAGAGAGAGAGAGAGAGAAACGAGAGAAGAGAAUGCUGAGGGGAGAGAGACCGUGAGGAACAAGGAAGAUGUGGAGGAGAGAGAGACAGUGAGGAAUGUUGAAGGGGCUGUUGUUUUUAGAAAUGAAAGAGGUGAAAAGGAAAGUGCUGACACCAUGGUUGAAACAGAGAAGAAAGACUUAGAAAGGAGGUUAUGAGAGAGUACGAGGAAGACAUGAAAUCUGGAAAACGAGAUAAGAUGGAUGAAGCUGAGGAUACUCUUGGUAGAUUUGAGUAUGAGAUCGAGUCCACGAAGAUAUCAGACUUACACAACCUACUCAAUCUUCUCAAGCUCAAGACUAGUUAACACUUGAUGUGGCGUACUUGUGUGGCUUUUGUUAUUAGGGUCUGUACUCCGUGGCUUUUGUUUUAAAUUCUGUGUUUUUAUCUUCUACUACUCUA